rnacentral:rRNA from 1 species
GAGACCUGUACCUACAAUUGCCAGCGAGUUCAUCGAAUGUUCGGGCACAUUGUAGGAACUGCCUUGGAAACAAGGAGGAAGGUGCAGGCGACGGUAGGUCUGUAUGCUCCGAAUCUUCUGGGCUACACGCGCGCAACAAUGGUGGAGACAAUGGGUCACAACUCCGAAAGGAGAAGUUAAUCCUCGAAACUCCAUCUUAGUUCAAAUUGAGGGUUGUAACUCACCCUCAUGACGUCGGAAUCCCUAGUAAUCAGAGGUCAUCAUCCUCCGGUGAAUAU